rnacentral:rRNA from 1 species
CAGCAGCCGCGGUAAUACGUAGGUGGCAAGCGUUGUCCGGAAUUAUUGGGCGUAAAGGGCUCGCAGGCGGUUUCUUAAGUCUGAUGUGAAAGCCCCCGGCUCAACCGGGGAGGGUCAUUGGAAACUGGGAAACUUGAGUGCAGAAGAGGAGAGUGGAAUUCCACGUGUAGCGGUGAAAUGCGUAGAGAUGUGGAGGAACACCAGUGGCGAAGGCGACUCUCUGGUCUGUAACUGACACUGAGAGACGAAAGCUAGGGGAGCAAAUGGGAUUAGAUACCCCGGUAGUCCCUGUCUCUUAUAC